CCUACGGGAGGCUGCAGUGGGGAAUAUUGGACAAUGGGGGGAACCCUGAUCCAGCCAUGCCGCGUGUGUGAAGAAGGCCCUCGGGUUGUAAAGCACUUUCAGUGAGGAAGAACGCCUGGUGGUUAAUACCCAUCAGGAAAGACAUCACUCACAGAAGAAGCACCGGCUAACUCCGUGCCAGCAGCCGCGGUAAUACGGAGGGUGCGAGCGUUAAUCGGAAUUACUGGGCGUAAAGCGCGCGUAGGUGGCUUGAUAAGCCGGUUGUGAAAGCCCCGGGCUCAACCUGGGAACGGCAUCCGGAACUGUCAAGCUAGAGUGCAUGAGAGGAAGGUAGAAUUCCCGGUGUAGCGGUGAAAUGCGUAGAGAUCGGGAGGAAUACCAGUGGCGAAGGCGGCCUUCUGGACUGACACUGACACUGAGGUGCGAAAGCGUGGGUAGCAAACAGGAUUAGAUACCCUUGUAGUC
rnacentral:rRNA from 1 species